GACGAACGCUGGCGGCGUGCUUAACACAUGCAAGUCGAACGGAAAGGCCCUGCUUUUGUGGGGUGCUCGAGUGGCGAACGGGUGAGUAACACGUGAGUAACCUGCCCUUGACUUUGGGAUAACUUCAGGAAACUGGGGCUAAUACCGGAUAGGAGCUGCUGCUGCAUGGGGGGGGUUGGAAAGUUUCGGCGGUUGGGGAUGGACUCGGGGGUUAUGAGCUUGUGGGGGGGGUAGUGGCUAACCAAGGCUUUGACGGAUAGCCGGCCUGAGAACGGAACCAGGGACCAUGGUCCUGCGAGACGCCGCAGAGUCCUACGUUAGACAGCAGGCGGAAAUCUGGCCCAACCAGCGCACGCCUGAGGAGGAGAUCCUCCGUUUGUAAAGCAGGCUAUCGUGGUAUAAACCGCAUUAGCCUGUUACCAAGCGUGAGUGACGUUACCAGCUAAAGAAGCACCGGCUAACUACGUG
rnacentral:rRNA from 1 species